UGAAUACGAGAUGCUACGGCGUCGAAGCAGUCUAUGUCAUACUUCCAAGAAAAGCUUGCACUGUCAUAAACAAAUAAUGCCUGUACCAUAACCGACACAGGUGGGUAGGUAGAGUAUACUAAGGGGCGCGAGAUAACUCUCUCUAAGGAACUCGGCAAAAUGACUCCGUAACUUCGGGAGAAGGAGUGCCUUAUUUUAUAAGGUUGCAAUAACAAGAUCCAAGCAACUGUUUACCAAAAACACAGGUCUCCGCUAAGUCGUAAGACGAUGUAUGGGGGCUGACGCCUGCCCAUUGCCAGAAGGUUAAAGAAGUUGGUUAGCAUCCGCGAAGCUGAUAACUGAAGCCCUGGUGAACGGCGGCCGUAACAAUAACGGUCCUAAGGUAGCGAAAUUCCUUGUCGGGUAAGUUCCGACCCGCACGAAAGGCGUAAUGAUUUGGAUACUGUCUCAGAGAGGGGCUCGGUGAAAUAGACUUGUCUGUGAAGAUGCGGACUACCUGCACCAGGACAGAAAGACCCUAUGAAGCUUUACUGUAACUUGAAAUUGAAAUUGGACUUUACUUGCGCAGUAUAGGUGGGAGGCGUUGAGAAUAUUCUUGCGGGAAUGUUGGAGCCAUCAGUGAGAUACCACUCUUGUAAUGUUAGAUUUCUAACUUUGUAUCAUUAUCUGGUCAAAGGACAGUUUCAGGCGGGCAGUUUGACUGGGGCGGUCGCCUCCCAAACGGUAACGGAGGCGCACAAAGGUUUCCUCUGAACGGGUAGAAAUCGUAUCUAGAGUGUAAAGGCAUAAGGAAGCUUGACUGUGAGACCUACAAGUCGAGCAGGGACGAAAGUCGGUCUUAGUGAUCUGACGGUGCUGAGUGGAAAGGCCGUCACUCAACGGAUAAAAGUUACUCUAAGGAUAACAGGCUGAUCUCCCCCAAGAGUUCACAUCGACGGGGAGGUUUGGCACCUCGAUGUCGGCUCAUCGCAUCCUGGGGCGGUAGUACGUCCCAAGGGUUGGGCUGUUCGCCCAUGAAAGCGGUACGCGAGCUGGGUUCAGAACGUCGUGAGACAGUUCGGUCCAUAUCCGGUGUAGGCGUUAGAAUAUUGAGAGGAGCCUUCUUUAGUACGAGAGGACCGAGAAGGACAUACCUCUGGUGUACCAGUUAUCGUGCCAACGGUAAACGCUGGGUAGCUAUGUAUGGAGUGGAUAACCGCUGAAAGCAUCUAAGUGGGAAGCCCACCUCGAGAUAAGUAUUCUCA
rnacentral:rRNA from 1 species